rnacentral:rRNA from 1 species
UGCGGUAUUUUAACUGUACUAAGGUAGCAAAAUAAUUUGCCUUAUAAUUUGAGGCUAGAAUGAAUGGUUUGACGAAGGUUAAUCUGUCUCUAUUUUAUUUUUUAGAAAUUAAUUUUUAGAGUGAAAAAGCUUGUAUUUUUUAAAGGGACGAGAAGACCCUAUUGAGCUUGUAAUUUUAUUACUAUUGUUAAUAUUAUUUGAGUGGUAUAUAAAUUUUAAUUGGGGUGAUUAAGGAAUAAAAUGAUUUUUAGUAACUUCCUUAUAUUUAAUAUUGUUAGAUAAAGUAACCAAUAUAUUAUUGCUUAUAUUAUAGUUACCAUAGGGAUAACAGCGUAAUUUGUUUAGAGAGUUCUUAUUGAAAAACAAGAUUGCGACCUCGAUGUUGGAUUAAAGUAACCUUAAGGUGCAGAAGCUU